AGCUGAUUGGUGUAAGGGGCAACACGCAGGAUUGCAGAUCCUGAAUUGCAGAGUUCAAGUCCUGCAUCAGCUUCCA
rnacentral:tRNA from 1 species